rnacentral:rRNA from 1 species
UACGGGGGGGGCAAGCGUUGUUCGGAAUUACUGGGCGUAAAGGGCUCGUAGGCGGCCAACUAAGUCAGACGUGAAAUCCCUCGGCUUAACCGGGGAACUGCGUCUGAUACUGGUUGGCUUGAGUUCGGGAGAGGGAUGCGGAAUUCCAGGUGUAGCGGUGAAAUGCGUAGAUAUCUGGAGGAACACCGGUGGCGAAGGCGGCAUCCUGGACCGAUACUGACGCUGAGGAGCGAAAGCCAGGGGAGCAAACGGG